rnacentral:rRNA from 1 species
AUUGAACGCUAGCGGGAUGCCUUACACAUGCAAGUCGAACGGCAGCGGGAAGAAAGCUUGCUUUCUUUGCCGGCGAGUGGCGAACGGGUGAGUAAUGUAUCGGAACGUGCCCAGUAGCGGGGGAUAACUGGCCGAAAGGUCAGCUAAUACCGCAUACGCCCUACGGGGGAAAGGGGGGGAUUCUUCGGAACCUCUCACUAUUGGAGCGGCCGAUAUCGGAUUAGCUAAUUGGUGGGGUAAUGGCCUACCAAGGCGACGAUCCGUAGCUGGUUUGAGAGGACGACCAGCCACACUGGGACUGAGACACGGCCCAGACUCCUACGGGAGGCAGCAGUGGGGAAUUUUGGACAAUGGGGGAAACCCUGAUCCAGCCAUCCCGCGUGUGCGAUGAAGGCCUUCGGGUUGUAAAGCACUUUUGUCAGGGAAGAAAAGGUUCUGGCUAAUACCCGGAACUGAUGACGGUACCUGAAGAAUAAGCACCGGCUAACUACGUG